rnacentral:rRNA from 1 species
UACGUAGGGGGCAAGCGUUGUCCGGAAUCAUUGGGCGUAAAGAGCGUGUAGGCGGCCAGAUAAGUCCGCUGUGAAAUCUCGAGGCUCAACUUCGAGCUGUCGGUGGAAACUGUCUGGCUAGAGUCCGGAAGAGGAGAAUGGAAUUCCUGGUGUAGCGGUGAAAUGCGCAGAUAUCAGGAAGAACACCCGUGGCGAAGGCGGUUCUCUGGGACGGUACUGACGCUGAGGCACGAAAGCUAGGGGAGCAAACAGG